AGUGAAUGCAAAGUGAGCUGUGUUCCUCCUCUACUUCUGUGACUGCAGAGAGGAUGACAGAGAACAGUGGACACACAGUUGAACAUGAUGGACUAUAGGACAGGACUGCUGCUUUUAACUGUCUGCUGGGCAGGUGUUGAUGCUCAGACUCUGACAGAGUCUGAACCAGUGGUUAAAAGUCCUGAACAAUCACGCAGACUGACCUGUACAGCCUCUGGGUUCACAUUCAGCAACUACGAUAUGGUUUGGGUCAGACAGGCACCUGGACAAGGACUGGAGUGGGUCGCAACUGUUAGUUAUCCGAGUGGUGACACCCAGUACUACUCUGAUUCAGUCAGAGGUCGGUUCACCAUCUCCAGAGACAACAGCAGACAGCAGGCAUAUCUGCAGAUGAACAGUCUGAAGGCUGAAGACUCUGCGGUGUAUUACUGUGCCAGAUGGCCACACACCCUCUUUGAUUUCGGGCGUUUCACGGAGAUCUCUCUCACCUCAAGGCUGCUCCGGACUCGUUGA